rnacentral:rRNA from 1 species
UACGGAGGGUGCAAGCGUUAUCCGGAUUCACUGGGUUUAAAGGGAGCGUAGGUGGGUCUGUAAGUCAGUGGUGAAAUCUCCGAGCUUAACUUGGAAACUGCCAUUGAUACUAUAGAUCUUGAAUACUGUGGAGGUAAGCGGAAUAUGUCAUGUAGCGGUGAAAUGCUUAGAUAUGACAUAGAACACCGAUAGCGAAGGCAGCUUACUACGCAGUUAUUGACACUGAGGCUCGAAAGCGUGGGGAUCAAACAGGAUUAGAUACCCUGGUAGUCCACGCCCUAAACUAUGGAUACUCGACAUCAGCGAUACACAGUUGGUGUCUGAGCGAAAGCAUUAAGUAUCCCACCUGGGAAGUACGUCCGCAAGGAUG